CCUGUGACCUCAUCACCCUCUUACUUACUCUGCAGCAACAGGACAUUUAGGCAGUUGCAAAAUACCUUCUCACACAUUAAAUCAUUUGCUUUUCACCAAGCUUGUACUGGGCAGGUCUAGGCCUCAUUUUGUGGGAGAAAAAUAGGCCCUCAAAUGAAGAGGUCCUGCAUGAAACAGGUGGGAACCAGGUCUUAAACACAAGUCAGAUGGCUCUACAGUUGCCACUAUCCCAUAUCCGGACCUGAGAAGCGUGGUCAUCCAUCUCUGACACAAGCCUGGGAGAAUCUGGAAACACCACUGCUUAGAGCACAGCUUGCUUCCAUGGUGCUGCUGCCAGGAAUAUGGAAGUCGAUGGGGCAGUCCAUUACAGAUACAGGAUCCCAUUGUCAGCAGUCCUCUUUGCUGCAGUCCCUCCACUGCCCUGGCUGAUGCCCUGACACCCUCUACAGAACCCUUCCCAGACCUGCUGCCUCUGCACCCAGCUCCCAAGCGCAUGGAAUGGAAGGUAUGGCUUCUGGUGGCCAAUAACAAAUGCCCUGGGUGAGGCAGGGUCUGGUCUUGUACAAGUCAGCCAGGAGAGAACACCCUGAACCAGGACGACAAGGAUCACCAACACUGAAAAGAUCCAGAAGGAAAGGAUGAAUCAGCAAAGAUGACUUAGAAGGGGCUAAAAGAGCCAGGAAUCUGGGAUCAGAGAAGCCAAGAGAAAAGAAAGCGUCAGGAGUGAAAGAAU